rnacentral:lncRNA from 1 species
UGGUAAGUGCAGGGCUCCACUGUUCUUUAAGAAUAUCAAGACAAAUACUUCCAUUGCUGUUGAUAUUUGGGUGGAAGACCUUGGUCCUAAAAGCAACCUGCAAAAUGAAAUACCAUUAGCAUUGUCCAACAUAUAAAACAUCGAGCCAAAAAAUUAGACUGAAAAAUUUUACAUUUAAUUGCAUAUCUUAAGCAUCAUCUACAAAAUUCCAUCCCAUGCAUGCAUUACCACAUAUUAAUUGACAUGGUGCAAUAGCUUAUAAUGUUGCUUUAUCUUUUCUUUAUCACAUGCAUUAAAUGUGUCGAUUCCACAUUCGAAAUUAAACCAUAAGGAGCCUUCAUGAGGCUUGUUGAUGCUUACUAAAAAGCCGAGAUACUCAAAGUUGGAGCCAGUUAAUUCUUUCAAGGACUGGCUUCAUAGUGUGAACCUCAGGGUUACAGCUGAUUACCUAACAGUGCGAAGCUUGGAGACUAAACAUUGUUUCAUGGUCAAAUCAAUCCUCAAGGAGCUGUCUCAAGGAGGAGGGGAUUUUCUGAAAAAGGAGAUAUCAAGCACUUUAGCCCCUCAAAGGCAACCCCUUCCAAGUUGACAACAGGGCGGUAAAGGCUUUGGAAAAAUGAUUAUUUAUUAUUAUUAUUUUAGAAGAGGGAAUGUGUGGCAAAUUGGUAUACUAUUUUUUUCCUGUUAAAAGAAAAAUAAAUUGGUGUAUUAUUUUUUAGAGGCAAAUAAAGAAACAACGAAUUGGUGUAUAGGUAGAAAAGGAGAAGGAAUCUGCAAAUCAUCUUCUGCUGCAUUGCUUAGUGGCCUGGGAACUAGGGGCCUUAGUUUAGUUGUUGCUUUAUUUGAGGUCUUUUGAGUUCUCCAUUAGUCUAUAAAAGUUUAAUAACAAGUUGGGAAAGGAGUUUCCCCGUGAAGUGGAAGACAGGAAGAAUAUGGAAGAUUGCUCCCUUUGUGUAGCACAGUGCACCAGGAGAGCAUGCAAUACAAGAACUUUAAAAAAAGCUUUAGUCUCAUUCUUUAAACUCAAGAAAUCUGCCCUAGGUCCCCAAUGGCUCAAUCUGUCUAGGAGGGCAAAAUUUUCCUGUUCUUCCUUAUGGAGUUUUUAGAUUGUGUUGUUAUGGUGGUGAGGUUGACUGUUGAGGCAUCAACCUUUUUUUGUCCUUGUACCCUCCUUGUAUAAUUAGCAAGUUUCACCUCUUUUGCGAUUUUAUACUCAUAAAAAGCUGUCAUAUUGGUAUAUCACUUUGGACAUACGUUCAAAUGAAUAAGAAAAACUUACUAAAAUUAAUGAAAAAGAUUUGAGGCACCAGUCAACUAUUUACAUACAAAUAUCAAAAUUAUCAUGUUGGAUGAACUAAUAUACCUUGUAUCCUGUAUUAUCUUCUUGCCCCAUAAUUAUUUUUAGCUAUUAUAUCCCUCUCAUAGUUUUAAGAAUAAAAUGCACUUGAAAUCAGAACCAACAACUUACUUUAGGGGGCUUGAAAGGAUAAUCAGGAGGAAAAUGAAUAGUAACUAGGAAUACACCUCCUGCAUAUGGGCUAUCAGGGGGUCCCAUAAUUGUUGCUUGCCAGUGGAACAUGUCUUCAGCUACAGGUCCUAUUACAUUCAAAGCAAGCUUCAAAAGGUUACAUAUGCUUGUGGGAUUUGAGCUCAACUAUACGCAUGUUAGCACAUAUCAAGUAAUUGUCAUGCCAUGAGAACAAGAACAAAUACAAUUUCAUCAUCAAUUCAUUGUGUCAGAUUUUAAUUUAACCAGAGGGUUUUUUUUUUGACAAGUAGAAAAAAAAAUUUGAAAAAAUGUCUCAAAGGGAAGUGUUACUUUGGCAUAGAGAAUCUACACAAAGUAACACUUGACACAAGAAAGAAAAGAAAAGAAAAGAAAAGAAGAGGCAAGGGCCAAUAAAAUGACCAAAAUAAAGCCUUAGACUACCCCUAAGGGUUAAAGAACAAAUUUUCCAUGGCCAGCCAAAUCUCUGAAAAUUUCACAAAUCCACUCCUUCCAUACACAUAAAAGUAAAUUCAGUUGAGCUUUUCUCCAUAGUUGCCCUCCUCUUUUUUUCCCUACACAAAUUAAAUAAAUAUCCUUCAUUGUUUAAGAUGCUGCUCCAGAGGCACCAAAGGUGGAAAACAUCAAAGACCAUAGGCUACAAACAAUCACAAUGGAUAAUAAGGGGAUUAGGUUAUCCUCAUUAUUUUGCACAAACUAUACUAAAACAAACUCAUCUUAGAGAGUUUCCAAGAUAAUUUAUCUUCUGUCCCAUCUCUGACUUAAAUGGCAUAGCAGGUAGAUAUUGAAGUCUCCACAACUGCAACAUGCAGUAAUGGAACCUCCUAAUGAAUAUGGGAUUACCAUAUUCCGAUAAGCACUUCCUCCCUCCAAGCACCACUCAGCAACCAAACCUUCUUUAUCUUCUGUGAAGGGAAGCAGUCCUUUGGAGGGACUUCUGCACAUAUUCUCCAUAUCCAAACCAACCGCAUCCCCUACCCACACUAGAGCACCAACACCAACCCAACCCACCACCCACUCCUACCUCACACAAACAAACCCAACAACUCCUCUAUGAAUUUACCUGCUCCUGUUUUAUAACUUCAGGAGAAACCACACCACUAUAAUUUUCAAGGAGAUGUCUCGCAACAUCUAAAUGCGGCAAAUUGUAAAGUAAAAGGACAAUUCAAUACCGGAUAUCAAAAACCCAGAUAUUCAGGUCAAACACAAUCACCAAUAUAAACACCAUUUUCACAUCCAACAUCAAUAUGAUAUCAAUACAUGAAGAACCCGAUCAAAGAAAAUAAACAAGAAGAAAAAAAAACCCACACACCAGCACUGCAUGAAGUAGGAGGAUCUUUCUGCAAAUCCUUCAGUUCCUUCAAAAUACGCUUCGAAGCCAUUGACGCUCCAACAAGUCAAGGAGUUGAAGCCCGUACCUGCAGAACCCCAUUCCCCCAUACAAACAAAAUUUAGCACAAGAGACCCAAGCAUCACACAAUCCCAGAAAUUCACACACAAAACAAAACAUCAACCCUAAGUUUGAGUUUGAUUGCCGAGAAAACAUGGAAAAAAACACAAACGUAUCAAACGCAUGUAAUCUAUUGUUCUAUUUGACCAAAAAAAAAGUAAAAAUUUGGAGCUUCAUAAACAAAUUAAUUUCUUUUCUUUUUCCCCACCUUUUCUCGGCAACCAAACAAGCAAAAAUGAGAAAAUUAGAGAGAAAAUUACAAGUAGAGAUUGAAGAAAUGGAGAAAUUUAGGGUAUAGCGGAAAAAGGAGACGGCUUUUAAGGCGAUCCACAGCCGCCCCCCAAAACCGCCCUUUUUAUCCCUCUCGCUUUGCCUUUCCUCUUCCAGC